UACGUAGGGUGCAAGGGUUGUCCGGAAUUAUUGGGCGUAAAGAGCUCGUAGGCGGUUUGUCGCGUCUGCUGUGAAAACUCGGGGCUUAACCCCGGGCCUGCAGUGGGUACGGGCAGACUAGAGUGCGGUAGGGGAGACUGGAAUUCCUGGUGUAGCGGUGAAAUGCGCAGAUAUCAGGAGGAACACCGGUGGCGAAGGCGGGUCUCUGGGCCGUAACUGACGCUGAGGAGCGAAAGCGUGGGGAGCGAACAGG
rnacentral:rRNA from 1 species